rnacentral:SRP_RNA from 1 species
CGCACUAGCUGGGGAGAUAGCGGUGCCCUGUAACCUGCAAUCCGCUAUAGCAGGAGUGAAUUCCCACACCCGGGCUUAGUCUGUAUCGUCUGACCCUUGUAAGCAGUGUUGAGGGGACGGUCUUGCGCAACGGGUUCCCGUGAACCAUGUCAGGCGGGGAACCGAGCAGCAUUAAGCGGAUCCUCCCGUGUGCCGCAAGGGAGCCGUCUCUGAGCUGGCUGCAGGGGUAACGGGUAUAGGCUAUUGUUCAAAUGUGGGUG